GACUCCUACGGGAGGCAGCAGUGGGGAAUAUUGGGCAAUGGGCGCAAGCCUGACCCAGCAACGCCGCGUGAAGGAAGAAGGCUUUCGGGUUGUAAACUUCUUUUGUCAGGGACGAAACAAAUGACGGUACCUGACGAAUAAGCCACGGCUAACUACGUGC
rnacentral:rRNA from 1 species